rnacentral:tRNA from 1 species
GCCGAGGUGGCGGAAUUGGCAGACGCGCAGGGCUUAGGACCCUGUGGGAAAAAUCCCUUGUGGGUUCAAAUCCCACCCUCGGCA